CACAGGAACUCAUAGCAUGCAGGAUCACUUCUGGGCACCUGCCAGUACUCCAGUGCUCCUCUAGGGCCUCCUUGGGUUCCUGUCCUCCUGGUCAGCCUGUCCCCUGAGAAUCUGAAGAGAAGUGAGACAGCUCCUGAGGUUACAGCCAGCCAGCAGAGGCCAAGGCUCCAACACUGAUGGGGCCUGAAUCCUGCCCCUUUGCUGGCCUGAGAAAAUCUCAGAUCAAGAGCUCAUAUCCCUGAUAUGGAACAGAAGGGCAUGAGGGGACCCACAUCUGGCCACACCUGCUCAAGGCUUCACAGCAAGGACAGUAAGAGGUGGCCAUAUUCAGAGCCUGGGUCCACUUCCCUCUGCCGAUCUCAAGCCGCCCCUCAGACCGAGACCCUCGCUUCUCUGACCCCUAGGCGUCGCAGCCGGCCACCAAGCCUGGGGCUUCCUCGGGUUGACUGCAGGUGUUGUACCGGAUUCUGCUAUGAGUGGGGGUGGAAAUGGGGGUGGGGGUCGUGAGGGUGG
rnacentral:lncRNA from 1 species